ensembl:ncRNA K04D7.15 ncRNA
UGAUGAAAAUAGUGUAGUGAUUGGAAGAGACGCAGAGAAGACAGUUGGAUGGGAAAGGCAUAGGCGGUCUCCCGGAUGUUAUUCCGGUGUUUGAACAAACACUGAAGGACCUUCCGGGGCCGCCCGUCAUUUGACACCGUUAGGAACGGCAUGCUCACAGAUAAAUGGAAAAGGGAUCUGUCAAUUGCACCUGCAUUUAUACAUAUAUUGGC